CCCUUAGAUGUCCUGGGCCGCGCGCGCGUUACACUGAUGCAUUCAACGAGCUUAUAACCUUGGCCGAGAGGCCUGGGCAAUCUUGUUAACGUGCAUCGUGAUAGGGAUAGAUUAUUGAAAUUAUUAAUCUUGAACGAGGAAUUCCUAGUAAACGCAGAUCAUCAAUCUGCAUUGAUUACGUCCCUGUCCUUUGUACACACCGCCCGUCGCACCUACCGAUUGGAUGGUCCGGUGAAGCCUCGGGAUUGUGGUUCUUGCCGCUUUAUUGUGGCGUGACCGCGAGAACUUGUCUAAACCUUAUCAUCUAGAGGAAGGUGAAGUCGUAACA
rnacentral:rRNA from 1 species